rnacentral:rRNA from 1 species
GACGAACGCUGGCGGCGUGCUUAACACAUGCAAGUCGAACGCGCCUGUCCUCUGGGUUUCUGGGGGGUGGGUGAGUGGCGACCGGGUGAGUAACACGUGAGUAACCUGCCCCCUUCUUCGGGAUAACGGUCUGAAAGGGCUGCUAAUACCGGGUAUUCACUGGUCUCCGCAUGGGGUCUGGUGGAAAGGUUUUUUUCUGGUGGGGGAUGGGCUCGCGGCCUAUCAGCUUGUUGGUGGGGUGAUGGCCCACCAAGGCUUUGACGGGUAGCCGGCCUGAGAGGGUGACCGGUCACAUUGGGACUGAGAUACGGCCCAGACUCCGACGGGAGGCAGCAGUGGGGAAUAUUGCACAAUGGGCGCAAGCCUGAUGCAGCGACGCCGCGUGAGGGAUGGAGGCCUUCGGGUUGUGAACCUCUUUCGCCCGUGGUCAAGCCGCGACGUGGGUCGUGGUGAGGGUAGUGGGUAAAGAAGCGCCGGCUAACUACGUG